AACGAACGCUGGCGGCAGGCUUAACACAUGCAAGUCGAACGCCCCGCAAGGGGAGUGGCGCACGGGUGAGUAACGCGUGGGAAUAUGCCCUUCGGGUCGGAAUAACACAGGGAAACUUGUGCUAAUACCGGAUACGAUCUACGGAUGAAAGAUUUAUCGCCGAGGGAGUAGCCCGCGUAGGAUUAGCUAGUUGGUGAGGUAAUGGCUCACCAAGGCGACGAUCCUUAGCUGGUCUGAGAGGAUGAUCAGCCACACUGGGACUGAGACACGGCCCAGACUCCACCGGGAGGCAGCAGUGGGGAAUAUUGGACAAUGGGGGAAACCCUGAUCCAGCCAUGCCGCGUGAGUGAUGAAGGCCUUAGGGUUGUAAAGCUCUUUCGACGGGGAAGAUAAUGACGGUACCCGUAGAAGAAGCCCCGGCUAACUUCGUGCCAGCAGCCGCCGCGGUAA
rnacentral:rRNA from 1 species